rnacentral:rRNA from 1 species
CCUACGGGUGGCUGCAGUCGAGGAUCUUCGGCAAUGGGCGCAAGCCUGACCGAGCGACGCCGCGUGCGGGAUGAAGGCUUUCGGGUUGUAAACCGCUGUCGUAGGGGAGGAAGGCUCCGUGAAGAGCGGGGUUUGACCUAUCCUAGGAGGAAGUACGGGCUAAGUACGUGCCAGCAGCCGCGGUAAUACGUACCGUACGAACGUUAUUCGGAAUUAUUGGGCUUAAAGGGUGCGUAGGCGGUGCAGAAAGUUGGGUGUGAAAUCCCUCGGCUCAACCGAGGAAUGGCGCCCAAAACUACUGUGCUCGAGGAAGACAGAGGUAAGCGGAACUUCGGGUGGAGCGGUGAAAUGCGUUGAUAUCCGAAGGAACACCGGUGGCGAAAGCGGCUUACUGGGUCUUUUCUGACGCUGAGGCACGAAAGCUAGGGUAGCGAACGGGA